UCUCCGUAGGUGAACCUGCGGAGGGAUCAUUACUGAGUGAGGGCUCACGCCCGACCUCCAACCCUUUGUGAAUCGUACUCGUUGCUUCGGGGGCGACCCUGCCGUCCGCGGCUGAGCGCCCCCGAAGGUCUCCAAACACUGCAUCUUUGCGUCGGAGUUUAAAACAAAUUAAACAAAACUUUCAACAACGGAUCUCUUGGUUCUGGCAUCGAUGAAGAACGCAGC
rnacentral:misc_RNA from 1 species